GAUGAAGAACGUAGCUAAAUGCGAUAAGUAAUGUGAAUUGCAGAAUUCAGUGAAUCAUCGAAUCUUUGAACGCACAUUGCGCCCCCUGGUAUUCCGGGGGGCAUGCCUGUUCGAGCGUCAUUACAACCCUCAAGCUCUGCUUGGUGUUGGGCCCCGCCGCCCCGGCGGGCCCUAAAAUCAGUGGCGGUGCCGUCCGGCUCCGAGCGUAGUAAUUCUUCUCGCUCUGGAGGUCCGGGUGUGUGCUCGCCAGCAACCCCCAAUUUUUUUCAGGUUGACCUCGGAUCAGGUAGGGAUACCCGCUGAACUUAAGCAUAUCAAUAAGCGGAGGA
rnacentral:misc_RNA from 1 species